rnacentral:rRNA from 1 species
UACGUAGGGGGCAAGCGUUAUCCGGAUUUACUGGGUGUAAAGGGAGCGUAGACGGCAGGGCAAGUCUGGAGUGAAAGGCGGGGGCUCAACCCCCGGACUGCUCUGGAAACUGCCAGGCUGGAGUGCAGGAGAGGUAAGUGGAAUUCCUAGUGUAGCGGUGAAAUGCGUAGAUAUAUGGAGGAACACCGGUGGCGAAAGCGGCUCUCUGGCCUGUAACUGACACUGAGGCUCGAAAGCGUGGGGAGCAAACAGG